rnacentral:misc_RNA from 1 species
GAGAACCAAGAGAUCCGUUGUCGAAAGUUGUGUAUAGUUUGUUGGCCAGUGACGGUCCAACCAAGUUCCACGUUCAUACUAACCAUUCGAGUUUGUAGCGAAGAAAGACCCCAAGAGAGGCCACAAAAAACUUCUCUGAAGCCUUUCUCCAAGACAGUGCACACGGGUUUGUGGAUGUAUAGUGGGUGUAGGCGGCCAGGGACACUUUUUGGCGUCCGUAUGGCCUGCCCAAAUCUUCACUAAUGAUCCUU